AGGUUGUUAGCUCAACGGUAGAGCAAUGGACUCAUAAUCCAUUGGUCAGUGGUUCGAUUCCAUUACAACCUACCA
rnacentral:tRNA from 1 species